AUGCCGACAAUGAAUGGCCCACCCAGAAUAUUUAAAGUGUCGGAGCACCAGAAAAACCUUGCUGAGCUUACCACCAUGUUUGACAAGACUCAUGUGACGAUUGCAACUUCUGCGAUCCUAGGUGAGCAUAUAGAAGACCCCACUGCUCUCUUUGAGGUUGAGGAUGACAACAAUUAUCUGGAACUGGAAGACAACAAUGAUCUGGAAAGCAACAAGGCACCUGGCCAGAAAACAAAGGAAGUUGAAAAGCAGAGGGCUGCUGCCAUUGCUGCUAGUCCAAAGAAGAAACGAAAGCAACAAAAGAACCCUAAGGUUCAGGAGUCCAGGCAUCUGGCAAACAUAAUGGCUGGUAGCACUUCGGUGACAUAUUCUACUGAUGUUCCAAGAGGCCAUGGGAUUAAAGACGUCAUCAAGUUGGCUGUGCAAUCUGGGGCGAAGGAAUGCAGCGAUCUGUUCUUCAUGGCCACCAAGCUUUUCAUGAAUGUGGAUUAUAGAGAAAUGUUUAGUGCUUUGGAGACCAAUGAAGGAAGGCUCGAUUGGCUGAACAGGAUGCAUGAAGAGAUGAAGAAGAAUUAA
rnacentral:rRNA from 1 species